rnacentral:lncRNA from 1 species
AUGAAAGCCUAUGUUUCAUGGAGAGUCUGAGUGACAGCAACCAUGAUGAAAGUGAUACAGGUAAGAACAGCUCUCAGGUAGGAGCCAAUGGGAGAGGGAUCCCGGGACACUUGGGUGACGCCUGCUGCUUGGAGUGUGGGGCAGGUGAGUCUGAAACUUAAAAACAGAAAGAAAUUGAUGUAAAGAUGUUCACCGCCUACUUUAAUAAGGAGAGGGAGCAGAUAUGAGAUGCCUGAAUGUUGGCAUCUGUGCUCACCUUGUGUGGAAGGGUCUCAGUCCAUGGAGCAGAGGGAAGGUCUGGGCACCUGGAGGAAAAACCAGGGUGAUGCUCUGUACCGUAGUCACCUCAGGGAAGCCGGAGAAACGGGAGGGCCACUCUUUCUAACUCCUUGAUUCCCCUGAUGGUGUGUUUCUACAGACUCAGUGGUGGAGAGCCUGAGCAGCCGCCAGGAUGAGGAGGCUGCAGCAACCCUCGAUGAUGUUGUGGAGGCCGGCGGGAGUGAGAAGACGGAGGAAGAGGCCCUGGCUGGGGCAAAUGAGGAGGAGGUGGGGCCGGGAACUGAGAAGGUGCAGGAGGAGGCUGCCUGCAUUGACGAGGCAGAGGAGGAGGCAGGCCCAUCCCUUGAAAAUGACGAGGAGUCCCCAGCCAGCGACCUGGUUGAGCAGGAAGACCAGCUUGCCCCCAAGGUGGACGGGAUGGACGAUGAAAGCCGUAAGUAUU